GGCUAUUCAUCCCGUAAUCAGUCAAUGUUUCCAGAAGCCUUUGCUUGCGCUUCCGUGCACUGCACAGCACCAGCGGCGUUUAGCCUGCUCAAACGUGCUCCCUACCACAAACACACGGACAUGUGGGCCUCACCAACUCCGGGCCCUACAUGUCAGUGAGCGUAAACCCCUCUGUCCGCGAAAUGAUUCACGCGACGCGAGCCACCUACCGCCGCCGCCUCCGCCGCCUCCGCGCAUCUCCCCGGUUCGCGCCGUCACGCGCGCUCACAGCUCACAGCUCACGGGCCAGCUCGGAAAGCACCACGCCGACGCCUCGCGGCGAGCUCGGAUCUCCUGUCCUGGGACUCUAGCGGCGGCUGGUCUCGGUUACUCGGGGGGAGGCGGCAUACUACCGAUUUGGUGGGCGGGGAGUCCGGGAAUGGGAGAUCUGGCGGCGGCGGUAGCGAGAUGGUGAGCGCAGGCUCUAGCAGGAGUUGCCCGGCGCGCGUCACGCCGAGGGGCAGUGCGGGGCCCGGGAGCCCGCGCGUCUCUGCUGCCGCGGUUGCUUUGGCGGCGCUGCAGCGCAGGUGGCGGUGGGCGCCGUCGGGCGCGUCGCUGGAGCGCGCGGCCCACGCGUUCCUGCUGGCCUCCGCGGCGCUGGUCCUCAGCGGCGCGCUGUACCUCUACGUGUUCCGGUACGUCGGCCGGGGCCGCGCGGUGGCCGGCUUCGUCGGGGACGGUGGGCUCGGCGUCGAGCCGUGCGACGUGUUCGACGGCGCCUGGGUGCCCGACGCGAGCCACCCGCUCUACAACAGCUCCGAGUGCCCGUUCGCGGAGCGGGGGUUCGACUGCCUGGCCAACGGGCGGCAGGACACGGGGUACCUCAAGUGGCGGUGGAAGCCGCGGCGGUGCGACGUGCCGCGGUUCACCGCCCGCGCCGCGCUGGAGCGGCUGCGGGGGAAGCGGGUCGUCUUCGUGGGGGACUCCAUGAGCCGCACGCAAUGGGAGUCCUUCAUCUGCAUGCUCAUGGCCGGGGUGGACGAUCCCAAGACCGUCUACGAGGUGAACGGGAACGAGAUCACCAAGAUCAUACGGCACCUGGCGGUCAGGUUCGCGUCGCACAGCAUCACUGUGGAGUUCUUCCGGUCGGUGUUCCUUGUGCAGCAGCGCCCUGCGCCACAGCACGCCCCGAAGAGGGUCAAGUCGACCUUGAGGCUUGACAAAAUGGAUGAUUUCAGUCGGAAAUGGGCGAAAUCCGAUGUGCUAAUUUUCAACACCGGGCAUUGGUGGACUCCGACAAAACUGUUUGAUACGGGUUGCUAUUUUCAGGCCGGACGCGCUCUUAAACUUGGUACAUCAAUUGAAGCUGCUUUCAGGAUGGCAUUGGAGACCUGGGCUUCAUGGGUGGAGAAAAGACUUGAUUUAAACCGAACACAUGUCUUCUUCCGUACAUAUGAGCCAUCCCACUGGAGUGACCCAAGCCAAAGGACCUGUGAAGUAACAGAACAGCCUUCGUCUGAGGUCAAAGGAAACGAUAAGAGUGAAUUUGGGGCUAUACUUGCUGAUGUUGUGGUGAAAAUGAGCACUCCUGUUACUUUACUAAAUGCAACUUUAAUGGGAGCGUUCAGAAGUGAUGCUCAUGUCGGCAAUUGGAGUUAUCCUCCCACCAUACUUGAUUGCAGCCACUGGUGUCUCCCUGGAGUCCCCGAUGCUUGGAAUGAACUAGUCUUUUCGUACCUUUUGACAAAUGGAAAAUUUGAGGAUGCACCAAGAGAGAUGGUUUAGGCUAUGAUGUUGACCUUUGACAAUCUACAUUCAAGGAAGUCAACUGGAAUGAUCAAGUAGCACUUAUUGAUGCUACCUUGAGAUGCCUCAAGUUAUGAUCUUCAACGAAGUGCUACUCCAGUUAUAUAUAACUUUAUCAACAAUUCUUGAGAUGCGACUGAACAAGUGUAGCUUUUUACUACUGUGCUGGCGAAACAUGGCAGGGUGAAUGUCCCACGGCAGGGUGAAUGUCCCACAGCAUACUCAAUUUUCCCCCAAUUGUGUAUUGUGAUUUUAUCAGCUAUAGCGGAUUAACAUGUCCUGGAAGCAGCUAUAUCUGCUAUGUGGUUCACUGGACUUCCACAUUCUUUCUUUCUUUGACUUAUACAAGGUGAAACAUGCAUCCUGAUGUGUAGAUUUUGUAUCAUUUCUUUUGGUUGCUGAGGAUUAGAAAGCAUCAACAUUCUGUCAACCUGUAUGUAUGCACUAACAGUUCAUUUUAUAUGUUGUCAAAAAACAAAUUUGUGUUUGAACCGGUAUGUAUAAACAUUCACUUGAUACGGUGUCAAAAAGUGCCCCCUUUCAAUAUAAGUGUCAAAUUUUGCAUGUC